GGGUUGUGAGGUUAAGCGACUAAGCGUACACGGUGGAUGCCCUGGCAGUCAGAGGCGAUGAAGGACGUGCUAAUCUGCGAUAAGCGCCGGUAAGGUGAUAUGAACCGUUAUAACCGGCGAUUUCCGAAUGGGGAAACCCAGUGUGACUCGUCACACUAUCAUUAACUGAAUCCAUAGGUUAAUGAGGCGAACCGGGGGAACUGAAACAUCUAAGUACCCCGAGGAAAAGAAAUCAACCGAGAUUCCCCCAGUAGCGGCGAGCGAACGGGGAGGAGCCCAGAGCCUGAAUCAGCAUGUGUGUUAGUGGAAGCGUCUGGAAAGGCGCGCGAUACAGGGUGACAGCCCCGUACACAAAAGCGCAUAUGCUGUGAGCUCGAUGAGUAGGGCGGGACACGUGGUAUCCUGUCUGAAUAUGGGGGGACCAUCCUCCAAGGCUAAAUACUCCUGACUGACCGAUAGUGAACCAGUACCGUGAGGGAAAGGCGAAAAGAACCCCGGCGAGGGGAGUGAAAAAGAACCUGAAACCGUGUACGUACAAGCAGUGGGAGCCCCACCACUAAGCCAGUGGUGAACUCCACAUACGCAUCCUUUGCUGAGGAUACAGUUAACGGAGCGAAAGCGACGUUCAACCGCAAAAGAAGCAGAGGGGGCUUAGUGGUGGGGUGACUGCGUACCUUUUGUAUAAUGGGUCAGCGACUUAUAUUCUGUAGCAAGGUUAACCGAAUAGGGGAGCCGUAGGGAAACCGAGUCUUAAUUGGGCGUUAAGUUGCAGGGUAUAGACCCGAAACCCGGUGAUCUAGCCAUGGGCAGGUUGAAGGUUGGGUAACACUAACUGGAGGACCGAACCGACUAAUGUUGAAAAAUUAGCGGAUGACCUGUGGCUGGGGGUGAAAGGCCAAUCAAACCGGGAGAUAGCUGGUUCUCCCCGAAAGCUAUUUAGGUAGCGCCUCGUGAAUUCAUCUCCGGGGGUAGAGCACUGUUUCGGCUAGGGGGCCAUCCCGGCUUACCAACCCGAUGCAAACUGCGAAUACCGGAGAAUGUUAUCACGGGAGACACACGGCGGGUGCUAACGUCCGUCGUGAAGAGGGAAACAACCCAGACCGCCAGCUAAGGUCCCAAAGUCAUGGUUAAGUGGGAAACGAUGUGGGAAGGCCCAGACAGCCAGGAUGUUGGCUUAGAAGCAGCCAUCAUUUAAAGAAAGCGUAAUAGCUCACUGGUCGAGUCGGCCUGCGCGGAAGAUGUAACGGGGCUAAACCAUGCACCGAAGCUGCGGCAGCGACGCUGAUGCGUUGUUGGGUAGGGGAGCGUUC
rnacentral:rRNA from 1 species